AGCGAACGCUGGUGGCAGGCUUAACACAUGCAAGUCGAGCGGGCAUCUUCGGAUGUCAGCGGCAGACGGGUGAGUAACACGUGGGAACGUACCCUUGGGUUCGGCACAACUCUGGGGAACUGGAGCUAAUACCGGGUACGCCCUCAUGGGGAAAGGUUUACUGCCGUAGGAUCGGCCCGCGUCUGAUUGGCUAGGGGGUGGGGUAACAGCCUACCAAGGCGACGGUCAGUAGCUGGGCUGAGAGGGUGAUCAGCCACACUGGGGCUGAGACACGGCCCAGACUCCGACGGGAGGGUGCAGAGUGGAGUAUAGGACGAGGGGCGCAAGUCUGACCCAGCCGUGCCGCGUGAGUGAUGAAGGCCUUAGGGUUGCAAAUCUCCUUUGUCCGGGACGAUAAUGACGGUACCGGAAGAAUAAGCCCCGGCUAACUUCGUG
rnacentral:rRNA from 1 species